UACAGAGGGUGCGAGCGUUAAUCGGAAUUACUGGGCGUAAAGCGUGCGUAGACGGCUAUCUAAGUCGGGUGUGAAAGCCCCGGGCUCAACCUGGGAAUUGCAUUCGAGACUGAAUAGCUAGGGUACGGUAGAGGGAAGUGGAAUUUCCGGUGUAGCGGUGAAAUUCGUAGAUAUCGGGAGGAACACCAGUGGCGAAGGCGGCGACCUGGACAGACACUGACGCUGAGACGCGAAAGCGUGGGGAGCAAACAGG
rnacentral:rRNA from 1 species